UACGGAGGGGGCGAGCGUUAUUCGGAAUUAUUGGGCGUAAAGGGCGCGUAGGCGGCGCGAUAAGUCAAAGGUGAAAUCCCUCAGCUUAACUGGGGAACUGCGUGUGAUACUGGAUGGCUUGGAUUUGGGAGAGGGAUGCGGAAUUCCAGGUGUAGCGGUGAAAUGCGUAGAUAUCUGGAGGAACACCGGUGGCGAAGGCGGCAUCCUGGACCAAUAUUGACGCUGAGGAGCGAAAGCGUGGGUAGCGAACAGG
rnacentral:rRNA from 1 species